UACAGAGGGGGCAAGCGUUAUUCGGCAUUAUUGGGCGUAAAGUGUGCGCAGGCGGCCGCGCAAGUCGAGUGUGAAAUCCCCGAGCUUAACUUGGGAAUUGCGCUCGAAACUACGUGGCUGGAGUGUGGCAGAGGAAGGUGGAAUUCCACGUGUAGCGGUGAAAUGCGUAGAGAUGUGGAGGAACACCGAUGGCGAAGGCAGCCUUCUGGGCCAACACUGACGCUCAUGCACGAAAGCGUGGGGAGCAAACAGG
rnacentral:rRNA from 1 species